rnacentral:lncRNA from 1 species
UAUGAACUUUAAGCUCUCAUCUAUAUGCACAUCUGUGUGUGGAAUCACCAACGAUUCGUCGGCGAAGCACUUCUUGAGAUUGCAGAUGUGGAACACAUUGUGAAUUCCAUUGAGCUCUUCAGGCAAGUUUAGUUUAUAGGCAACUGAUCCGACUCGUUCAAUGACCUCAAAAGGCCCUAUGUAUCUCGGACUCAGCUUGCCCUUCUUGCCGAAACGCAUCACCCCCUUCCAGGGUGACACCUUAAGUAAUACCUUUUCACCCACUUCGAAGUGAAAAUCCUUACGCUUUGGAUCAGCGUAGCUCUUCUGCCUAUCGCGGGCAGCCUUGAGACGUUCCCGGAUCUGGACAAUCUUGUCCGGUUUUUCUAUGAACUUUAAGCUCUCAUCUAUAUGCACAUCUUUUAUAGGCAACUGAUCCGACUCGUUCAAUGACCUCAAAAGGCCCUAUGUAUCUCGGACUCAGCUUGC